rnacentral:ncRNA from 1 species
AAUAUUGUCGAUAAAAGAAGUAGUAGUUGGGAUGGAUAUUUUAAGAGACCGAAUGGCUAGUGGAAAUUCGGAAUGACUUUCAACGAACUCGUCUUUAAAAUUAACAAUCUUGAACCUAAGUAGAGAUUGUCGUUUUCCGCGUUAAGGUAUUCAAGUGUGCAUUUUGCAAAACAUAGGUGGUACCGCGGAACUUUUCGUCCUAAGG